UGCGGGGUCGUCUAACGGUAGGACUGCUGGUUCUGGCCCAGCCAAUCUAGGUUCGAGUCCUAGCCCCGCAG
rnacentral:tRNA from 1 species